UGGGGAAUCUUGCGCAAUGGGCGAAAGCCUGACGCAGCAACGCCGCGUGAGGGAUGACGGCCUUCGGGUUGUAAACCUCUUCGACCGGGACGAAGAGAGAUUGACGGUACCGGUAUAAGAAGCACCGGCCAACUACGUGCCAGCAGCCGCGGUAACACGUAGGGUGCAAGCGUUAAUCGGAAUUACUGGGCGUAAAGCGCGCGUAGGUGGUUUGUUAAGUCGGAUGUGAAAUCCCAGGGCUCAACCUUGGAAUGGCACCGAUACUGGCAGGCUAGAGUACGGUAGAGGGGUGUGGAAUUUCCUGUGUAGCGGUGAAAUGCGUAGAUAUAGGAAGGAACAUCAGUGGCGAAGGCGACACCCUGGACUGAUACUGACACUGAGGUGCGAAAGCGUGGGGAGCAAACAGGAUUAGAUACCC
rnacentral:rRNA from 1 species